rnacentral:rRNA from 1 species
GACAGAGGGUGCAAGCGUUGUUCGGAAUUAUUGGGCGUAAAGGGCGCGUAGGUGGCUACGUAAGUCGAAUGUGAAAUCCUGGAGCUCAACUCCAGAACUGCCUUCGAUACUGGCGAUCUUGAGUCUGGGAGAGGUGAGUGGAACUCCGAGUGUAGAGGUGAAAUUCGUAGAUAUUCGGAAGAACACCAGUGGCGAAGGCGGCUCACUGGCCCGGUACUGACGCUGAGGUGCGAAAGCGUGGGGAGCAAACAGG